UAGGAUUCCAGGCGAUCUGAU
ensembl:piRNA 21ur-1739 ncRNA